CAUAUCAUAAGCGAGAAAUGAAACCAACAGGAUUGCCCUAGUAACGGCGAGUGAAGCGGCAACAGCUCAAAUUUGAAAUCUGGCUCUUUUAGGGUCCGAGUUGUAAUUUGCAGAGGGCGCUUUGGCUUUGGCAGCGGUCCAAGUUCCUUGGAACAGGACGUCACAGAGGGUGAGAAUCCCGUACGUGGUCGCUAGCUAUUGCCGUGUAAAGCCCCUUCGACGAGUCGAGUUGUUUGGGAAUGCAGCUCUAAAUGGGAGGUAAAUUUCUUCUAAAGCUAAAUACUGGCCAGAGACCGAUAGCGCACAAGUAGAGUGAUCGAAAGAUGAAAAGCACUUUGGAAAGAGAGUCAAACAGCACGUGAAAUUGUUGAAAGGGAAGCGCUUGCAGCCAGACUUGCUUGCAGUUGCUCAUCCGGGCUUUUGCCCGGUGCACUCUUCUGUAGGCAGGCCAGCAUCAGUUUGGGCGGUGGGAUAAAGGUCUCUGUCACGUACCUCUCUUCGGGGAGGCCUUAUAGGGGAGACGACAUACCACCAGCCUGGACUGAGGUCCGCGCAUUCGCUAGGAUGCUGGCGUAAUGGCUGUAAGCGGCCCGUCUUGAAACACGGACCAAGGAGUCUAACAUCUAUGCGAGUGUUUGGGUGUCAAGCCCGAACGCGUAAUGAAAGUGAACGGAGGUGGGAACCCGCAAGGGUGCACCAUCGACCGAUCCUGAUGUCUUCGGAAGGAUUUGAGUAAGAGCAUGGCUGUUGGGACCCGAAAGAUGGUGAACUAUGCUUGAAUAGGGUGAAGCCAGAGGAAACUCUGGUGGAGGCUCGCAGCGGUUCUGACGUGCAAAUCGAUCGUCAAAUUUGGGCAUAGGGACGAAAGACUAGUCUACUAUCCUACUAGUUUGGGUUCUGC
rnacentral:rRNA from 1 species